UGGAGAGGAUGUAUCCCGCGGUGGCGGCGUGUUGUCGGCUGCUGUAAUUGUCGGCUUCCGGAGGCGUUUUCGGCAGCGGUACUGGCCCGGAGAGUGCGGGAGUGAAGAAAAUGUUACCUACCUGGAGCACACCGCAGAUCAACACAGGCCUGCUAUCCAAGCCUGGAGCCAAGAGAGCUGUCACCCACUUUUUUGAGGCUGCCUGGCCACUUCCGGUGCUGCUGUGCUUACUGGGAGGAAGAGGCGGGUCCUAGAUGGAGGGCGCUUGCGCAGUCGUUCUGUUGGAGAUGGAGAGGAUGUAUCCUGCGGUGGCGGCGUGUUGUCGGCUGCUGAAAUUGUCGGCUUCCGGAGGCGUUUUCGGCAGCGGUACUGGCCCGGAGAGUGCGGGAGUGAAGACAUUUUCAUGGAUAUGAAACUGGACACCGAGUUGACACAGAAGUUCAGCUGCUGGGUAAGCUUCCAUUUCUGGGGACUGCUCUGCUUCCUGGUAAAACCCAGCUGUGCCUUCACCCUGGACAGAAGCAACUGGUUUGGCGGCAGUGAGGGUGGGCAGCAGCUCAGCCAUGAGGAAGCCAGAAGUGGAUGUCUGCCUCCCCUCCUCCAUCCCAGAGGAAAAGGAUGUGAAACUAACCCAGAGUGGACGCUGAAGCUCAUCUUCCAAGCAGUCUUCAAUUUCCAGAGACUGCACGGCUUCCUGCCCAACCCCAGCUGGGCCUUCUUCCGGAGAGGAGCAACUGGUGACAGCACUGUCCAUCGUGCCCUCACAGCUAUAUUGCCAAGCAGCCAUUUGGAAGCAAGUCUUCCCACUACACCAGCCUGGCACAUUGUGUGUCCUCCAGAGGUACCAUAGACUGGCAGUGUAUCAAAUGGAGCCUGGCUAGCUGGACAGCAGUGACCAGUGAGACGUGACGAGACCUCAGAAGGAGAGUAUAUGUGUGGACUUAACCUCAGGCUCCUCUGCACCCUAGAUUUACUGCAAACACACAGGGACUGACCUGUAGGAAGAGAGUCUUGCUGAAAUCCUGAACCUGCGCUUGCACCUAUAGAGCAUCUAUAGCAGCUUUCAGCCUGGAUGCCUGUCACCAAGUCUUGGGCAAUGAGUGGAGCCACCUGGCCGUGGAGCUCAGAGUUGUGGACAGCUGGAGCAGAGUAUUUAGGUGAACAAUUGUGACUGCAGUUCUGGAGCUCCAGUCGAAUGGUGGUACUGGGAAAGUCAGCCUCAGCCCUUCCUCCAUUAACCAGAGCUUCCCCACUAGCCCUGGAAAGAAGCAGCUGCUCUUGACAGGAAAUGAAGACUUAAUGUGUAGUGUGGAUGGUCCCUGAUGUUCUCUGCUGUAUUUGUUAUGAUUUCUUGGAAAGACUUGAGUCAUUAAGAUACUCAGCAACAAAGAAACAAACAGCCCGGUUAAGAAAUGGGCAAAGGACUUGAAUAAGCAGUUUGCAAAAGACAGAAUCCAAAUGACCGACAGAGACAUGAAAAAGUGUUCAGGACCACUAGCCAUCAGGGGAAUGGAAACCAAAAUCAUGAGGUUUUACCUUGCUCCCCAGUUAGAAUGGCUUUCAUUCAGAAAUCAACAAGCCAACAGCUGAUGAGGAUGUGGGGAAAUAAAGUACCCUAAUCCACUGUUGUUGUGAAUGUAAACUGGUACAGCCACUGUGGAAGAUAGCAUGGAGAUUCCUCAGAAAUCGGAAUAUAUAGACUUAGUAAAUGAACCAGACAUCCCACUGCUGGGAAUUUACCGAAUGGAAAUGAAAUCAGCAUAUGAAAGUGUUACCUGUACCCCCAUGUUGAUCACAGCUCAAUUCACAAUAGCAAGAUAUGGAACCUACCCAAAUGUCCAUUAACUGAGGAACAAAGAAAUUAUAUGUACACUGGGGAAUAUUACACCAUUAAAAAAAAAACGAAAUCAAUGCUUUCAUUUGCAACCAUAUGCAAGGAAUUGGAUGCUUUGUGAAAUAAGCCAGUCUCAGAAAGACAAAUACCAUCUGGUCUCCCUGAUCUUUGGUGCCUAAAAGAGUACCUAAAAUGUAUAGAAGUGAAAUUGAAACUUUGAAAUGUGAUGGCUGUGCUUGUUUCAUCUGCUGAGAGACAGAUGUUUUCCAUACUCUCUGUUCAACUCUUUACUUAGUGCAGGACUAAUUUUAAGUGUUUGAAGUUCAUUGAAAAUAGAUCUUAGUGAAAAAAAUAAGAAUGGGAAUAGGAGAGGGAAGAGAAAGAAGGGUGGAAGUUUGGGUGGGGAGAGGGUAGGAUGGAAAGAAUCACUGUGUUCCUCAAUAUGUAUAUAUAAAAUGCAGGAUGUUUGUAUACCUUCAAUAAAAGGUUUCCAGGGAAAGAAAAAAUCCCCCAAACCCCGAGUCGUACCGUUAGGAUUGACUGUCGAGGAACAGCUUACUAUUUUAUUCUUUUUAGUAUUUUCUUUUUCUACUCAAUACCUUUGGUUGAACUCUUUAAUUAACACAGAAUUAUUCUUAGGUGUUUAAAUCCAACUGAAAAUUGAUCCCUGUUAAAAAUAAGAGUUGGAGUAAGAGAGGGAGGAGGUAUGCAGUUCAGUACAUGCUAACUGAUCAUAAAGAUAGGAUUAAGAGUCAAAGGAAUCACAUAAAUAAGAAGAGUGUAUGCUAAUAAUAAUUGAUAGAAUUAAAAAUGAGAAAACAGUCCAACAUGGGAAGCAGGAUACACAGAAGACUAAUAGAAGGACAAAUGGCCAUAAACAGCACUCUGGCCUCAGAAUUAGCCCUUGAAAGACAUUGGGAUCUGGCUACAAAGCCCGUGAGAGUUUUUCAGGCAUGGAAAGCCAAGACACUGUGGCAAAAAUUGACCUAAAUGAACGACAUCUGUGAGUGAGAUCCUGAUAGAAAGAAGGGGCCAUCAAAGAGGGGGGUACUUUUCUCGGAAGGAGGGGAGAGAACCUGUCUACUUUGAUUAUGGCCUUGUCAAACAAGGUUGCAGUUUGUGAACUCAAGAGGCUUCCAUAGCCUUGGCAGCUCAUGACAAGAGCCUUGGGUGAUUACUUAGGUCAUAAAUAAGAAUGUCAAUUGUUAAAUCAACAACAGGAGUCACUUUGCACUUGCUUCCCAUGUAGGACCUCUAUCCUUAAUGUGUUGUAUUAUGAGAAUGAUUGUAAAACUAGUCUUCAAACAGUACUUUAUACUUUGUGUGUCUGUGUGGGUGCAAACUGUUAAAAUCUGUACUUAGUAAAUAGAGUUGAUCUUCUGUAUAUAAAGAUAAUUAAAAAUGAAUCUUAAUGAAGAAUGGGAUGGAA